GUCCACGCCGUAAACGAUGGGUGCUAGGUGUGGGAGGUGUCGACUCCUUCCGUGCCGCAGCUAACGCAUUAAGCACCCCGCCUGGGGAGUACGGCCGCAAGGCUAAAAACUCAAAGGAAUUGACGGGGGCCCGCACAAGCAGCGGAGCAUGUGGUUUAAUUCGACGCAACGCGAAGAACCUUACCUGGGCUUGACAUGCACGGGAAUGUCGUAGAAAUACGGCAGCCCUUCGGGGCUCGUGCACAGGUGGUGCAUGGCUGUCGU
rnacentral:rRNA from 1 species